ACCAGGGUGGCUCAGUUGGUUAAGCAUCUGACUUUGGCUCAGGUCAUGAUUUCUCAUUCUUGGGUUUGAGCCCCGUUCCAGGUU
rnacentral:tRNA from 1 species